GGUUGGCAGCCUUCAGACGCUCAAGGGAAACAGGGCAAAAAUUAGCUUCUCAUCACUAUUGGUCAGACGUAAGCAUCCUGUGACUUGAAUACACCCAGGGGCACUAUCAGGGCCUGGGCUACAGCCCUGACGAGGUGGCUAGGCACAGUCCCCCUCCCAUGACCCUAGCAUAGUGCCUGUGUUUGUGAAGGGUAAUUAAUAUUUCGCUAAGACACCUCCUGUAUCCUUCUGGGCUUUAGCUGGUGAUGGAGUAGAGUCACACGGCCCCUCAGUAUGGUCACCACCAUGGGAGAACUGACAUAGACUUCAACCAGCCUUCUUCAGAAUGGCAAUGAGAAACUGUGCUCAUUCUCAGAACAAAUACAUAAUCUAGCCCAGAUGAACCUGUGUCUUACCUUUGUAACCCAAAGAAGUCUGAAAUUCAAGGAAUGCAGGCCUGAAGACUAUGAUGUAGCUUGGGCUGUUUGACCAGUGACGCCCAGAGAUAUGCCUGUGUCUGCCUUCCCAGCAGUGGGAAUACAAGUCUCUGCUGCCACACCCAGCUUUUUAUAAAUGUGGAGAUCAAAUGUGGGUUCUCGUAAGAGAAGCAGUCCCUUACAAGUGUCUCCCCAGCCACCUUGAUGUCCUCAAGGACCCACGUUACAACAUAUUCACUUAAAUAAUCUGAGGUCAUUUCCCAGGCUCUUGGCUGUGGUCCUAUUCCUGACACAAAACACUUGUGAUUUUACAGGAGUAUGAGUGGUCAGGCUCCCGAGGCAGCAGCCUAGAUAAUCUGUUCCCUGUCUUGCGGGUUAUUUGUCUUUCACCGGUACACACAGUGCCCCUCCAUUCACCCCAGAGGAGGCUGUUUCAGCCUUCCCAUCACUGUGGGUAGAGGAUGGCUGCCCUUGGCAUCACAGGGUACCAACCCACGCAGCUUGCUUUCUUCCAUUUCGGCAGUUGCUUUUCUCUCCCAGGAAGGCUGGUCUCUUCCUUAUCUGCAUUAUUAUUUUCCUUUAAAAGCACACACACACCACCACCACCACCACCACCACCACCAACAACAACAACAACAACAACAAACACUAUUUCUAGACUUAACGCAAAUGAAACACACUUCUCCCAAGGAGCCUCAUGCAGAAUGCCAGUACUGUCUCUGAACCACACAUUUUAUUAUUACCCUAAAUCAUUUUUCCAAGUCUCAAUUGAUUCAACCAUAUAAAGAAUUUUUGUAAAAGGGAAGGACAAAGGGGCUUCUCGGAAUGAUGUUCUUCCCCUUUAACAUUCAUCCAUUCCCUUGGUAAAGAAUUAUCCUGGAACUGACCUAUCUCUAUGAAACCAAAGGAAGUGAAGAAGUCUAAAACAACACUCAAGGUGGUUAUUUGCAAAAAUACCCUUGGAAAGUCAUGCUAGAACAGUUCUAAAAUAUGGGUCAGAUCAGUUGCAUGAACACCUAAGACAGCACUUUCAGGCACUAAAUGCUGCUCAUAAAAUAUUAAGAGGCAUUUAAAGUGGUUUUAAGGCUUAGUACAAAUGAAAAAUUGAAAAAUAAUCCAAAUGGUAACAUAAAUCUAAUUUCUAUAUUUAGUGUUGAAAAAAAAAAUCACAGAAAUCCCUUGGCUAAUGACAGUGGAAAUUUAGUUUUGGGGUCCUGAAUGUUGAAGUUCCUGUAGUGUUAAAUUGCUCAAACGAGGUCAAGAACUUUCUGGAAUUAAACAACAGCAACAACAAAACAAAACCGGAGGGAAAAUGAUAUUAUGACUGUUUUGUCAUUGUACCCGCAGUAUAACUUAGGAUAUUUAUAUGUUAAUUAGGCUCUUUCUUUGAUCUGAUUUAAUAGAUGAGGAAGUUCUUUAUUUGAUCACUUGCCAAGUGAGGUCAAUUAGUUUGUGUACUUCUGACUUUUGUUUUUCAUUUAAAAAAAUUAAAAUAUACCAUU